rnacentral:rRNA from 1 species
CGAAGCGCUUUCGAUUGAAUCUUCGGAGGAAAUAGGAAGUGACUGAGUGGCGGACGGGUGAGUAACGCGUGGGUAACCUGCCUCAUACAGAGGGAUAACAGUUAGAAAUGGCUGCUAAUACCGCAUAAGCAUACAGCACCGCAUGGUGCAGUGUGAAAAACUCCGGUGGUAUGAGAUGGACCCGCGUCUGAUUAGGUAGUUGGUNGGGGUAACGGCCUACCAAGCCGACGAAUCAGUAGCCGACCUNGAGAAGGGUGACCGGCCACAUUGGGACUGAGACACGGNCCAAACUCCUACGGGAGGCAGCAGUGGGGAAUAUUGCACAAUGGGGGAAACCCUGAUGCAGCGACGCCGCGUGAAGGAAGAAGUAUUUCGGUAUGUAAACUUCUAUCAGCAGGGAAGAAAAUGACGGUACCUGACUAAGAAGCCCCGGCUAACUACGUGCCAGCAGCCGCGGUAAUAUGUAGGGGGCAAGCGUUAUCCGGAUUUACUGGGUGUAAAGGGAGCGUAGACGGAAGUGCAAGUCUGAAGUGAAAGCCCGGGGCUCAACCCCGUGACUGCUUUGGAAACUGUGCUUCUAGAGUGUCGGAGAGGUAAGCGGAAUUCCUAGUGUAGCGGUGAAAUGCGUAGAUAUUAGGAGGAAC